rnacentral:rRNA from 1 species
AAGUCGUAACAAGGUCUCCGUUGGUGAACCAGCGGAGGGAUCAUUAUCGAGUUAUUCAACUCCCAAACCCUAUGUGAACUUACCACUUGUUGCUUCGGCGCGCGCUUCGGCGCCGCCGAGGACACUUAAACUCUUUGUUUUUAUAAGCAUUUCUGAGUGGCCGAAAGGCAAAAAUACAAAUGAAUCAAAACUUUCAACAACGGAUCUCUUGGUUCUGGCAUUGAUGAAGGACGCAGCGAAAUGCGAUAAGUAAUGUGAAUUGCAGAAUUCAGUGAAUCAUCGAAUCUUUGAACGCACAUUGCGCCCGCCAGCAUUCUGGCGGGCAUGCCUGUUCGAGCGUCAUUUCAACCCUCGAGCCCGACUCUUUUGAGGACGGCUCGGCGUUGGGGGACGGCAGACUCCCCCCGGCAUCUCGCCGGGGACGCCGCCCCCGAAAUCUAGUGGCGGCCCUCCGAGGCGACCUCUGCGUAGUAACUUGUUCUCGCACCGGAAAGCUCAGAGCGGCCACGCCGUAAAACCCCAACUUUUUUCAGGUUGACCUCGAAUCAGGUAGGACUACCCGCUGAACUUAAGCAUAUCAAUA